GCCAGCAGCGCAGUAUACGAUGCUAGCGAGUCGAUAGUAGUACUACUGGAGUAAAGCUGCAUGCAGUGUUUAUAGUCAUGAUAUGAAAGCCCGGGUGCAUCAUCGUAGUACUAGCAUUAGCAAGCUAGCAGACUAGACUACUGUAGAGGGGGGUAGAUCUUCAGGUGUAGCGAUGAACUGCGUAGUGAUCUGAAGGACUACCGGUGACGACGGCGGCCCCGCUGGACAGAUACUGACACUCAGAUGCGACAGCGUGGGGAGCAAACAGGAUUAGACACCGUGGUAGUCCACGCCGUAAACGAUGUCUACUUGGAGGUUGUGGCCAUGAGCCGUGGCUUUAGGAGCUAACGCGUUAAGUAGACCGCGUGGGGAGUACCGUCGCAAGAUUAAAACUCAAAUGAAUUGACGGGGGCCCGCACAAGCGGUGGAGCAUGUGGUUUAAUUCGAUGCAACGCGAAGAACCUUACCUACUCUUGACAUCCAGAGAACUUUCCAGAGAUGGAUUGGUGCCUUCGGGAACUAUGAGACAGGUGCUGCAUGGCCGUCGUCAGCUCGUGUUGUGAAAUGUUGGGUUAAGUCCCGCAACGAGCGCCACCCUUAUCCUUGUUUGCCAGCGAGUAAUGUCGGGAACUCCAAGGAGACUGCCGGUGAUAAACCGGAGGAAGGUGGGGACGACGUCAAGUCAUCAUGGCCCUUACGAGUAGGGCUACACACGUGCUACAAUGGCGCAUACAGAGGGCAGCCAACUUGAGAAAGUGAGAGAAUCCCAAAAAGUGCGUCGUAGUCCGGAUUGGAGUCUGCAACUCGACUCCAUGAAGUCGGAAUCGGUAGUAAUCGUGGAUCAGAAUGCCACGGUGAAUACGUUCCCCGGCCUUGUACACACCGCCCGUCACACCAGGGUUUUUUUUU
rnacentral:rRNA from 1 species